AUUUGUUGGCACCACAGGUGGCUGUUACUGGCGUUGCCUGACCCACAUUUCAGGCCUCUUCCAAGGGGAAACAUGGUGCAGAUGGGGAAACUGAGUCACAAAAGGAAAUCCUGUGCUGUUUAGCUGUGGAACAGUGCUGUAGCUUGCAAUAUGAAGCUGUACAUCAAGGCAUAUAUGGAUCUACAUCCAUGAAGAAGUGUGCAUGGUGCAAUUUUGCUGCCUGUUUUCACAGAAGGUAUUGGAAGGUACCUUUAUCUAGAAUACACCUGCUCUGCUCUUGUAAUUCAGGUAGAACAUGCUGCAGUGUCACUGGACAUAUUCGGCACAACAUUGAAACUGCUGUUUUCAGGAGAAGGUGAAGGAGGCCACUGGCAGCCUCCCCAUCUCUGGAAGGAGGAGCAAGGCUCCCCUGAUAAGAUUGCAGUCUAGAGAUGGGGAGAAAGUUCUUGUUUGCCUCUUAGCUGCCAAGGAGCUCUGCUGUCCACACAGUUAUGCAGCAAGUAUCUUUCGUUUUAAUAUAAUUCAGAUUAAGUAAUUACAGCAAUGCACAAUGUACUCUAGAAAAUUAGAAAGGUUGAAAAUUUGUGUUUUUUUUUAAUAUGCACACACAAAUCAAAAUCAACAGGAAAAUGAAUAACCUAUUUGGUGGUAGAAUGUACCAACAAAAUAGUGUAAUAAAAAUGAAAUUAUUUAAAGUAAUAUUCCAAUCAUACAGUCAUCAUUGAUUUAGUUUCCAAUUAUACAGAGGUAAUUGUAUUAAGGAACUGCCUCAUUCACUGCUUUCUGAGGAAAUGCUUGAGUGUUUUAAUGUCCUGGCAUCUGCAGGUAAUAAAUGAUCUAAUCUGCACUCUU